rnacentral:lncRNA from 1 species
UGGCGGCAGCCCCAGGUCCCGGGUCCCUCAGACAAAAAGGCGGGUGGAGGAGGAGUAGCCGAGCCCAGAGUCCUGCUCCGGCGCCGCCGAGCACCGCCCGCCUCAGCCGACCAGCCCCGUCGGCUACUGGGCCUAGCCUAGAGGAGAGGAGGGAAAGGCCGCGGAGGCCGCGAGGAGACGGCUGGGGCGCCAGCGGCCGGCUGCCGCCUAGUUGUGCUGCCCGGACCAAGGAAGGAGAAGUGGGAGGAGCGGGGAGCUCAGCGGCUCAGGACGACGACGCUCGCCACAUCCGGGACCCUCCGGCCGUGGCGGUCGCAGCGCCGGCAGCUCGGGCCUCAGCCCCUGCCUCUGUGGUGACUCCGCCGCGCUUCGACGUCGCCCCUGUCCCCGUCCCGCCCGCCGCCCCCGCCAACCCCGCCGCCGGGGACAUGUCCAACCCCUGAAGCCGGAGGAACGGGCCAGUCAGACUGCGCCCGACAGGUGAUGGGGAGCGGCGGCCGGGCUGGGCAGCCGCCGGGUGGGCGAGCUGGCGCGGGGUACCUGUUGACUUGGGAAGGGCCAGGAUCGCGAUCAAUGGAGGUGAAGUGAAAUCUGCAAGAGUCCUGCUCGUUCAAGGCCUGCAUACAGGAAAGAAGCAGGGGAAAAGCGUUAGAAACAGCUUUUGUUCUACAGCAUUUUAAAAUAUAAUAGGUGUAUAUUGAAAAGUCUGAUUCAGUUACAAUCAGUGUAUGGAAUCACAAGAAGAUCCAUAAGAAACAAGGUGCUGGAUUUCUCCGUUGUGUUCGUCUUUUUCCAGUGCCAUCAACCACCUCAAAGACACUGGUUAUCAGAGGUUGGAUUUAUGCAAACUUGGGCCAAAGGACAGUUAGAAGACAGUAGUAAGUCUUCAGUCCAGGGACCAAAUCGGCACAGGAGGACAAGUUGUGGACUGCAGUCAUUUAUUUGAUAAUGAUUUACCAGACAAGUCUGAAGAAGCAUCUGUAGGGAAUCCAGAAGGAGCAUUCAUGAAGAUGUUACAAGCCCGGAAGCAGCACAUGAGCACUGAGCUGACUAUUGAGUCGGAGGCGCCCUCAGACAGCAGUGGCAUCAACUUGUCAGGCUUUGGGAGUGAGCAGCUAGACACCAAUGACGAGAGUGAUGUUAGCAGCGCACUAAGUUACAUCUUGCCUUAUCUCUCACUGAGAAAUCUAGGUGAUCAGCUUGAAAUUCAGCUAACCGAGCAGCUACGGUCCCUCAUCCCCAACGAGGAUGUGAGAAAGUUCAUGUCUCAUGUUAUCUGGACCUUGAAAAUGGAAUGUUCAGAAACACAUGUGCAAGGGAGCUGUGCCAAGCUCAUGUCGCGAACAGGCCUCCUGAUGAAGCUUCUCAGCGAGCAGCAGGAAGCAAAGGCAUUGAAUGUAGAAUGGGAUACGGAUUAAUGAGAACAUGGAACAGAAUGAACAGAAAGAGCAGAAGUCAAGUGAGCUCAUGAAAGAAGUUCCAGGAUAUGACUAUAAGAACAAACUCAUCUUCGCAAUAUCUGUGACUGUCAUACUAAUAAUUUUGAUUAUAAUUUUUUGUUUUAUAGAGGUAAAGACAAUAAUUAAUUCAGGUUUUCAAAAUACAAUCCUGUGUUUGUGUGGAUUCAGAAUCCACAAACUGAAAACCAACGUCACUUUCCCACUUGACAUU